UGAGCUGUGGAUAGGGGUGAAAGGCUAAACAAUCCGGAAAUAGCUGGUUCUCCCGAAACUAUUUAGGUAGUGCGUCACAUAUCACUUCCGGGGUAAAGCACUGUUAUGGCUAGGGGGUCAUCGCGACUUACCAAACCAUGGCAAACUCUGAAUACCGGAAAGUGCGAGUGUGGCAGACAGACAGUGGGUGCUAACGUCCAUUGUCAAGAGGGAAACAACCCAGACCGCCAGCUAAGGUCCCCAAGACACAGUUAAGUGGGAAACGAAGUGGGAAGACAUAGACAGCUAGGAGGUUGGCUUAGAAGCAGCCAUCCUUUAAAGAAAGCGUAAUAGCUCACUAGUCGAGUCGUCCUGCGCGGAAGAUGUAACGGGGGCUCAAACUGUGCACCCGAAGCUGCGGAUAUCGAAAGAUAUGGUAGGGG
rnacentral:rRNA from 1 species